GAAUACUAAUUACAAUCUGCGUGAAUAUGACCCUCCUUUUUAAAGCCUUCCUCCCUCCCCUCCUAUUGACUUGAUUCCCUAUUGCCAUCUCGUUGUCAAGAACUCCUCUCUCUCUCUCUCGCUCGCUCGCCUCUGACACUUUGAAUCAGUGUCUGUUGAAGAAAGAAGGAAUUUCUUUGUUUUAGCUUUACGCAGCACAGCAGUCUGGAAAUGGGCAGGCAUUCUUGCUACUACAAGCAGAAGCUCCGUAAAGGCCUCUGGUCUCCCGAGGAAGAUGAGAAACUCAUCAAACAUAUCACCAAAUUCGGCCACGGCUGCUGGAGCUCUGUCCCUAAACUCGCCGGGCUUCAAAGGUGUGGAAAAAGCUGCAGGCUGAGGUGGAUAAAUUAUUUGAGGCCUGAUUUGAAAAGAGGCACAUUUUGUCAAGAGGAGGAGAAUUUGAUCAUUGAGCUGCAUGCAGUUCUUGGCAACAGGUGGUCACAGAUUGCGGCACAGCUGCCGGGGAGAACAGACAAUGAGAUAAAAAAUCUUUGGAAUUCGUCCAUCAAGAAAAAGCUAAGGCAGAGGGGCAUUGACCCGAGCACCCACAAGCCCCUGUCCGAGGCGGACAGCGAGGACAACAAAGCCAGCAACAACAACAACAACAACAACGACAAGACCUCUGAGAACUCCAGCGACCUCACCUUCGCCGACAAACCCCCCCGCUACCCGCUCCUCGACAACGCCGCCCCCAAUUCGACCCAAGAAUUCUUCCUCAACCGCUUAGUCGCCACCCACGAGUCCUCCACCGCCAAGCCGUCCGACAUGUCAUCAUUCCUCUCCUUCCAGCACCUCAACUACGCCGCCGCCCCCAACAUCGCCCUCUCCAUCAACCCCAACGCCACCAGCAUCUUCUCCUCCGAUCAAUUCGGUGCCACCAAUUUGGCGGCGGCGCCUCUCCUCUCCUCAAUUCCCAGCCGCGUUAACAACAACAACAACAAUUCAGUCACCCCCUUCAGCGUCAAAUUCGAAAACUGGGACGCGAGGGGAGGCGAGGGCGGCUUCUUCGAGAACAACGCGUUCGCGUGGGCGGCCGCGGAGAAGGUGGAGGCGCACGCGCAGUCUUCCGAGAGUGGGAUUAAUAAUCCCGAAGAUAUAAAGUGGUCUGAGUAUAUGCAGACUCCUUUUAACAUUCAAAAUCAGAAUCUACACGCACAAGAUGUGUACGAGGGGUGGCAGCAGCCGCAGCAGCAAGCUGCGGCGGAGAUAUACAGCAAGCAUUUCCAGGCGUUUGGACAGUAUUCUUAAAAAUUAGUUGCAAAAAAGGCUGCUAAUUCUUCUUCUUCUUCUUCGACGACAGGGCGAACGAACUGGCACCUAACUAUAUCAUUGAUUUGGCAUGCUAUGAUUGGCUUCUUACGCACGCGCAUGUGUGACUCGCACUGAUUCGCUUCCAUCCAUAGCGAUGUGCUUGGGAUAUUGAGCAUUCGCACCUUGCUCUAUUUACUGGGCUGGCGAUGCUCUGAGUCAACACGCUGAUAUUAAGUCAAAAACUAAUGACAAAUGAUAUUACUGAUUCAGCUACUUAAAUGCUUUUCAUUUUUCCUAAGACCAUCUUUUACUAUAUUCACAUACGUUGUAAAUUAAAAGGAAUAUUUCGUAUUUGAUUAUUUUGAUAUAUAGUACAUAUAAAAAAAUUGUUUGAAAA